CCUUAUUUGGAAUCAAGAUGUUUUGGUUAAGGGAUGCAACACCGCUAUCGAUCAAGGGAUACCUAAGAUAGCCAGUGAACGACCCAGAUCCGAAAUGACGUAAUAAGUCACGAUGCUACAGCUGCUAGGCAUUGAGUAAGGCGAAUGAUAAUACGGUCUGGGAGGUACUACUGAGGUGGAUGUUUUAAGACUCUGCAAAUGAACUUAGAGCACUAACAGUACCGCGUAGGG
rnacentral:sRNA from 12 species